rnacentral:rRNA from 1 species
ACUCAAAUGAAUUGACGGGGGCCCGCACAAGCGGCGGAGCAUGUUGCUUAAUUCGAGGCAACGCGAAGAACCUUACCUGGGUUUGACAUGCAGGGAAAAGCCGCAGAGAUGCGGUGUCCGCAAGGGCCCUGCACAGGUGGUGCAUGGCUGUCGUCAGCUCGUGUCGUGAGAUGUUGGGUUAAGUCCCGCAACGAGCGCAACCCUUGUCCUAUGUUGCCAGCGGGUAAUGCCGGGGACUCGUAGGAGACUGCCGGGGUCAACUCGGAGGAAGGUGGGGACGACGUCAAGUCAUCAUGCCCCUUACAUCCAGGGCUGCAAACAUGCUACAAUGGCCGGUACAAAGGGCUGCUAUCCCGCGAGGGUGAGCGAAUCCCAGAAAGCCGGUCUCAGUUCGGAUUGGAGUCUGCAACUCGACUCCAUGAAGCCGGAGUCGCUAGUAAUCCCGGAUCAGCAACGCCGGGGUGAAUACGUUCCCGGGCCUUGUACACACCGCCCGU